rnacentral:rRNA from 1 species
GCAAGUCGAACGAGAAAGCUCUUUUCGGAGAGCGAGUAAAGUGGCGCACGGGUGAGUAACGCGUGAAUAAUCUACCCCUGAAUUUGGGAUAACAGUUCGAAAGGGCUGCUAAUACCGGAUGACAUAACCUUUACCACGGUUUGGGUUAUCAAAGAGGGCCUCUCCUUGGAAGCUCUUGUUUGGGGAUGAGUUCGCGUCCCAUUAGCUUGUUGGUGGGGUAAUGGCCUACCAAGGCAACGAUGAGUAGCUGGUCUGAGAGGAUGAUC